CCUACGGGAGGCAGCAGUAAGGAAUAUUGGUCAAUGGACGAAAGUCUGAACCAGCCAUGCCGCGUGAAGGAUGAAGGCCCUCUGGGUUGUAAACUUCUUUUAUCUGGGACGAAAAAGGGAAUUCUUUCUCACUUGACGGUACCAGAGGAAUAAGCACCGGCUAACUCCGUGCCAGCAGCCGCGGUAAUACGGAGGGUGCAAGCGUUAUCCGGAUUUACUGGGUUUAAAGGGAGCGUAGGUGGGCAGGUAAGUCAGUGGUGAAAUCUCCGGGCUUAACCCGGAAACUGCCAUUGAUACUAUCUGUCUUGAAUAUUCUGGAGGCAAGCGGAAUAUGUCAUGUAGCGGUGAAAUGCUUAGAUAUGACAUAGAACACCAAUUGCGAAGGCAGCUUACUACGGGAUUAUUGACACUGAGGCUCGAAAGCGUGGGGAUCAAACAGGAUUAGAUACCCUGGUAGUCCACGCCCUAAACGAUGGAUACUCGACAUCAGCGAUACACUGUUGGUGUCUGAGNGAAGACAUAUAUACCACCUACGAGUAGANGCAGAGUAGAAUAAUAGAGUAGAGNGNGAGAGNGACGACGACGACGACGAGGAGGAGG
rnacentral:rRNA from 1 species